AUGCCUAGGAAAUUGCCCUGAUGUGGGGGAUAACCAUUGGAAACGAUGGCUAAUACCGCAUGAUGCCUACGGGCCAAAGAGGGGGACCUUCGGGCCUCUCGCGUCAGGAUAUGCCUAGGUGGGAUUAGCUAGUUGGUGAGGUAAGGGCUCACCAAGGCGACGAUCCCUAGCUGGUCUGAGAGGAUGAUCAGCCACACUGGAACUGAGACACGGUCCAGACUCCUACGGGAGGCAGCAGUGGGGAAUAUUGCACAAUGGGCGCAAGCCUGAUGCAGCCAUGCCGCGUGUGUGAAGAAGGCCUUCGGGUUGUAAAGCACUUUCAGUCGUGAGGAAGGUGGUGUCGUUAAUAGCUGCUUCAUUUGACGUUAGCGACAGAAGAAGCACCGGCUAACUCCGUGCCAGCAGCCGCGGUAAUACGGAGGGUGCGAGCGUUAAUCGGAAUUACUGGGCGUAAAGCGCAUGCAGGUGGUUUGUUAAGUCAGAUGUGAAAGCCCGGGGCUCAACCUCGGAAUAGCAUUUGAAACUGGCAGACUAGAGUACUGUAGAGGGGGGUAGAAUUUCAGGUGUAGCGGUGAAAUGCGUAGAGAUCUGAAGGAAUACCGGUGGCGAAGGCGGCCCCCUGGACAGAUACUGACACUCAGAUGCGAAAGCGUGGGGAGCAAACAGGAUUAGAUACCCUGGUAGUCCACGCCGUAAACGAUGUCUACUUGGAGGUUGUGGCCUUGAGCCGUGGCUUUCGGAGCUAACGCGUUAAGUAGACCGCCUGGGGAGUACGGUCGCAAGAUUAAAACUCAAAUGAAUUGACGGGGGCCCGCACAAGCGGUGGAGCAUGUGGUUUAAUUCGAUGCAACGCGAAGAACCUUACCUACUCUUGACAUCCAGAGAACUUUCCAGAGAUGGAUUGGUGCCUUCGGGAACUCUGAGACAGGUGCUGCAUGGCUGUCGUCAGCUCGUGUUGUGAAAUGUUGGGUUAAGUCCCGCAACGAGCGCAACCCUUAUCCUU
rnacentral:rRNA from 1 species